UACAGAGGGGGCAAGCGUUAUUCGGAAUUAUUGGGCGUAAAGGGCGCGUAGGCGGCCAUUCAAGUGACGGGUGAAAGCCCUCGGCUUAACCGAGGAACUGCCUGUCAGACUGGAUGGCUUGAGACCGGGAGAGGUGAGUGGAAUUCCCAGUGUAGCGGUGAAAUGCGUAGAUAUCGGGAGGAACACCAGUGGCGAAGGCGAGUCUCUGGGAUGAUGCUGACGCUGAGGCGCGAAAGCCAGGGGAGCAAACGGG
rnacentral:rRNA from 1 species